UGAGUCCCCAGUUAAAUUUCAAAGCGUUUCGUUGUUUGACCAUAAAAAAUAUAUUGCAGAGUGCUCAUUUUAGUUGUUUUGUUUUGUUUGGUCCAAUGAGGUUUCUCUUACGUAGAAUAAACAGUUGUGAUACAGAUGCACAAAUUUUGUUUCAAAAUAUAGUCCAUAUCCUGCAACUUGUAUUUUUUUUUCAAACAGAAGCAUAUGCCGAUUAAUAAAAUAUUAUUUGAAAGGGUCCAUGCAAAAGGUUGGUAAGUACAUUUUGUUCGGCGGUGUGUACGAAUUUCAAAGUUGGGGAUAUUCGUAAAACUGGAUAAAUACGACGCACCUUCAGAAAUCGACUUCCAGGAGAAGCGGUCAAUGAAAGUAUUUCCUAUACGGAAUGUGCUCGUUUUCAUAAAAAAAAAUUGAAAUUUAAAUCACGUUAAGUCCAAAUCAACUGAGCGAGAGUUCUGAAAAAAUAAAUACAUCUGAAAGGAUUGUAGAGAGAUGGAAGCAGGUUUUUCAGAAUUGAAAAAAAA